rnacentral:rRNA from 1 species
CCUACGGGAGGCAGCAGUGAGGAAUAUUGGUCAAUGGGCGCGAGCCUGAACCAGCCAAGUAGCGUGAAGGAUGACUGCCCUACGGGUUGUAAACUUCUUUUAUCAAGGAAUAAAGUGAGGCACGUGUGCCUUUUUGUAGAUACUUUAUGAAUAAGGCACGGCUGACUCCGGGCCAGCAGCCGCGGUAAUACGGAGGAUCCGAAGGGUAACCGGUUUUAUUGGGUUUAAAGGGAGCGUAGGCGGACUGGUAAGUCAGCGGUAAAAGCCCGGGGCUCAACCCCGGCGAGCCGUUGAAACUGGGUGUCUUGAGAUGGCGAGAGGUAUGCGGAAUGCGCAGUGUAGCGGUGAAAUGCUUAGAUAUUGCGCAGAACUCCGAUUGCGAAGGCAGCAUACCGGCGGCGAUCUGACGCUGAGGCACGAAAGCGUGGGUAUCGAACAGGAUUAGAUACCCCAGUAGUC